GUUAUCUUUAGUUCAUACUACUGUCCUUCAUUCUCGAUUCGAGUGCUUACAGGGAAGGAUUCAACGAUGAAGUGGAUCGGUCUGACUUUCUUGUUGUUGUCAUCCUUGAUGGUGGCGACAGAAGCGCGACCCCAAGGCAGAUUCCCGCCUCAUUUUCCUACACGCGGGCCUUUGAUCCCUCCAUACCCAUGCAACUGCACGUUCCCACCGUGUCCUUGUGAUCCUCCUAGACCCAUCGACUUCUUAAGAGUAAAACGACGCGUGUAAGAUGGCCCUGCGAGUCCUCAGGAUGGUUUUCCUUGUUGUCCACGUCCUCGGAUUUGAGUGAUUUUCUUCAAGUUUUCUUAUUGUCUGCGUAAAUUAGUAGGUUUUCCUUUUGUCUAUAAAAGUUUUCAGGCGUUCUAUUCAUGUCUUGUAUAAGUUAUUGAGAUUUCCUUAUCAUCAGUGCAAUGAAUCUUUUUUUUUUUUUUUUCGUGUAAACAUAACUUAGCAAGAUUCGAUGAGUGCCUGUGCAAAUCAUUGUUUUUUGUUUCUUUACACUAGUUAUCAGGGCUUCCCUAGUGUCUGUACGAACCAUUAUGUCUUACAUGCUUGUCUGUAUUAGUGCAAGUUCUUCAUUUGAAAAUAAAUAGAAUAAAAAUAAAUUGUCAUAAUUGU